rnacentral:rRNA from 1 species
UACGUAGGGUGCAAGCGUUGUCCGGAAUUAUUGGGCGUAAAGGGCUCGUAGGCGGCCAACUAAGUCAGACGUGAAAUCCCUCGGCUUAACCGGGGAACUGCGUCUGAUACUGGAUGGCUUGAGUUUGGGAGAGGGAUGCGGAAUUCCAGGUGUAGCGGUGAAAUGCGUAGAUAUCUGGAGGAACACCGGUGGCGAAGGCGGCAUCCUGGACCAACACUGACGCUGAGGAGCGAAGGCCAGGGGAGCAAACGGG